rnacentral:rRNA from 1 species
ACAGCAGCCGCCACGGUAAUGCGUAGGUGGCAAGCGUUGUCCGGAAUUAUUGGGCGUAAAGCGCGCGCAGGCGGAUAGGUCAGUCUGUCUUAAAAGUUCGGGGCUUAACCCCGUGAUGGGAUGGAAACUGCCAAUCUAGAGUAUCGGAGAGGAAAGUGGAAUUCCUAGUGUAGCGGUGAAAUGCGUAGAUAUUAGGAAGAACACCAGUGGCGAAGGCGACUUUCUGGACGAAAACUGACGCUGAGGCGCGAAAGCCAGGGGAGCGAACGGGAUUAGAUACCCCAGUAGUCCCUGUCUCUUAUACA